UCGGGAAUAUUGCGCAAUGGAGGAAACUCUGACGCAGUGACGCCGCGUGCAGGAAGAAGGUUUUCGGAUUGUAAACUGCUUUAGACAGGGAAGAAACAAGACAGUACCUGUAGAAUAAGCUCCGGCUAACUACGUGCCAGCAGCCGCGGUAAUACGUAGGGAGCAAGCGUUAUCCGGAUUUGUUGGGUGUAAAGGGUGCGUAGACGGGAAUGCAAGUUGGUUGUGAAAUCCCUCGGCUCAACCGAGGAAUUGCAACCAAACUAUAUUUCUUGAGUGCUGGAGAGGAAAUGUGGAAUUCCUAGUGUAGCGGUGAAAUGCGUAGAUAUUAGGAGGAACACCAGUGGCGAAGGCGACUUUCUGGACAGUAACUGACGUUGAGGCACGAAAGUGUGGGGAGCAAACAGGAUUAGAUACCC
rnacentral:rRNA from 1 species